CUUUUCUAAAGACCAAAUUUUCAAGUGUGGAUGUUUGAAUUUUGCCAGCAAAACCUGCAUUUUUGUGUAAAAUCCAGGAAACUUAAUUAUUCAGCUGUUCUUCAGGGUAGAAAAUGGGAAGAAACCCAGUGUUCCAUCCACCGAAUACUGAUAACGGAAUCCAUACUGAGGAUUUACCUGGAGCUGUGAAUCUACUUUGAAUAAAUGGACCACCAUGCCUUCUUUGGGGUAUCAGAAGAAAAGGGAAAUUGCU